rnacentral:rRNA from 1 species
CUACGUGCCAGCAGCCGCGGUAAUACGGAAGGUCCGGGCGUUAUCCGGAAUUAUUGGGUUUAAAGGGAGCGCAGGCGGGAGUAUAAGUCAGCUGUUAAAUAUCAGGGCCCAACUCUGUUAUGCAGUUGAAACUAUAUUUCUUGAGUACGCACAACGUUGGCGGAAUUCGUCGUGUAGCGGUGAAAUGCUUAGAUAUGACGAAGAACUCCGAUUGCGAAGGCAGCUGACGGGAGCGCAACUGACGCUUAAGCUCGAAGGUGCGGGUAUCGAACAGGAUUAGAUACCCUGGUAGUCCGCACAGUAAACGAUGGAUGCCCGCUGUUGGUACCUGGUAUCAGCGGCUAAGCGAAAGCAUUAAGCAUCCCACCUGGGGAGUACGCCGGCAACGGUGAAACUCAAAGGAAUUGACGGGGGCCCGCACAAGCGGAGGAACAUGUGGUUUAAUUCGAUGAUACGCGAGGAACCUUACCCGGGCU